CCUACGGGUGGCAGCAGUAGGGAAUUUUCGUCAAUGGGCGCAAGCCUGAACGAGCAAUGCCGCGUGAACGAGGAAGGUCUUCGGAUCGUAAAGUUCUGUUGAAGGGGAAAAAGAGCGGAGAGAGGAAAUGCUUUCUGAUUGAUAUUACCCUUCGAGGAAGUCACGGCUAACUACGUGCCAGCAGCCGCGGUAAUACGUAGGUGGCGAGCGUGAUCCGGAAUGGUUGGGCGAAAAGGGUGCGUAGGCGGCCUGCUAAGUCUGGAGUAAAAGGGACGGGCUCAACCGGGACAGGCCCUGGAAACUGGCGGGCUUGAGAGCAGGAGAGGGCGGUGGAAUUCCAUGUGUAGCGGUAAAAUGCGUAGAUAUAUGGAAGAACAUCAGUGGCGAAGGCGGCCGCCUGGCCUGUUAACUGACGCUGAGGCACGAAAGCGUGGGGAGCAAAUAGGAUUAGAUACCCUAGUAGU
rnacentral:rRNA from 1 species